CCGCGUGAACGGCGCGAGUGACUUAGCCGACAAGCGGAGCGGAACAGCAACAGAAGCUCUCGUCUGGCACUGUGGAUCGAGCGGCGGGCAAUGUCACAACGUAACCGGCCUACCCGUGCUGAUCCGGGAUUCGCCCCGGUUUACAGCGCUGUCCUGGGAGCCUACGUUGUUGAUCCUGCCAUGGCCGGUCUUUGGCCGGGCUUCCUGCAAGGCUGUGCAUCGGCGUUCAUCGCUGUGCUGACCUUGCGAGGCCGGGCGGCGCCCUGGCUACUGUGACUGCCACAGCCACCCACUGCCGCCUCUACAACACCGCUGCAGCUCGUAAUGAACGGCUACAAUUCGAACUGUCUGACCGCCGCCUUCAUCAGUACUCACAAACUGCUGGGGAAUGAGGGCCAUGGGAGAAUUGGAGGAAUUAUGAGGGAAGGAGUGGCCGAAUACUGCACCAGGGAAGCCAAUUCCUGUUCUGUACGCCGACUCAAGAACCGCCUCAUUCACGGCAACCCCUGUGCACCUGCCUCAACCGCUGAUCCAACCACGCCGGCCGGUUCCACGUGCAGUAACCACAGAACCACAGAAGUUCAGGCCACGUGCACAGGCACCGUCGCCGCAGUCUUUCCCCAUCUCGCCUGCCCCUCUUCAUAGCCGUAGUGCUGUCGCCAGACUCUUUCCCCCUCUUCCAUACCCGUGCCCAUUCCUGUAUACGCGCAGUA